rnacentral:rRNA from 1 species
UACGUAGGGUCCGAGCGUUGUCCGGAUUCAUUGGGCGUAAAGAGCUCGUAGGCGGCUCAGUAAGUCGGAUGUGAAAACUCUGGGCUCAACCCAGAGCCUGCAUCCGAAACUGACGGGCUAGAGUUCUGGAGGGGGUAGCGGAAUUCCUGGUGUAGCGGUGAAAUGCGUAGAUAUCAGGAGGAACACCGGUGGCGAAGGCGGCUACCUGGACAGAAACUGACGCUGAGGCGCGAAAGCUAGGGGAGCAAACAGG